rnacentral:rRNA from 1 species
CCUACGGGAGGCAGCAGUAGGGAAUAUUGCUCAAUGGGGGAAACCCUGAAGCAGCAACGCCGCGUGGAGGAUGAAGGUUUUCGGAUUGUAAACUCCUUUUGUUAGAGAAGAUAAUGACGGUAUCUAACGAAUAAGCACCUGCUAACUCCGUGCCAGCAGCCGCGGUAAUACGGAGGGUGCCAGCGUUACUCGGAAUCACUGGGCGUAAAGCGCGCGUAGGCGGGAUAGCAAGUCAGAUGUGAAAUCCUAUGGCUUAACCAUAGAACUGCAUUUGAAACUGUUAUUCUAGAGUAUGGGAGAGGUAGGUGGAAUUCUUGGUGUAGGGGUAAAAUCCGUAGAGAUCAAGAGGAAUACUCAUUGCGAAGGCGACCUGCUAGAGCAUAACUGACGCUGAUGCGCGAAAGCGUGGGGAGCAAACAGGAUUAGAUACCCGAGUAGUC